AAGAUACUCCCUCCACCCGGAAAUACUUGUCCUAGAAAUGGAUGUAUCUAGACUUAUUUUAGUUAAAGAUACAUCCAUUGUAUACAUUUUUAGGACAAGUAUUUCUAGGCGGAUGGAGUAUAAG
rfam:Hordeum vulgare subsp. vulgare, WGS project CAJW01000000 data, contig: morex_contig_1124644